AGGGAGGGCUCAGAGGCCACUAGGAGGUCCCCAACCAGAGUCCCCGCUGUCUCCUGACACCCAGGAACGCGCCUGCCUCAGCAUCUCUGCUGAAGUCAAGCAGCUGGUAAAGACAAGGUCUUGGACCUUGGAGCACAGCCGCCCCAGUAUCCUUGUCUGCAGCUGGAGCUUGGCAAGUACUGGAGAUUGAACUCAGGACCUUGUGCUUGCCAAGCAGCUCAUCCUUCAACGUGAGAGGAAGGGGAAGAGCCCAAAGACAGAGGUCUGGGAGUGGAGUGGAAGUUUGUCUCCCCAGGGCCUACCUCAGUGCCUUCUUGAUGUGUGG
rnacentral:lncRNA from 1 species